CUUCCCCGAUCCGUGCAACAUACUCUCCGGCUCCCUCUGUGACCACACAGUUUGUGCCGACACCACAGCAGCCUGGAGAGGCCAUGUUGGCUGGCCUACCUCCUGGGUCCUGCUUCGUCUGCCUUCCUGCCUCAGGUGCACCAGACAGCCACAUCUGGGGCCCCCGGGGCCCUUCCCUCCUCCAGAUGUUGCCUGCCUCACUCUCUGGCCUCCUUCAGGUCUCUGCUGAAUGUCACCUCCUGUUUGAGGCCCUGUCCUGUUCUCCGUGCCGUUCCUGUGAUUGCUCCAGGAGCACGGACUUCUCACACAGGGCCUGAACAGUCGCCCCUGUUUACCGUGAGCAGCUUGUCUCCGGCCAGCACCAUGAACACACGGGAACUUUGAGAUCGAAUCCACCAGGGUGGUAUUACGUUCCUACCAUAUUCCGGGUCCUGUCGUGGGUGUGGAAACCGUCAUGCAGGCAGGUGGACACAGCUUGCUUUCUCAUGAUUCAGUGACAGAAGAUUUCUGCAGAGACCGAAGAAAACAGUCCAUCUGAAGGACUUAGUGUAGCCUGAAGCAUUAGUGGGACCGACCAGUCAGCAGACAAGCAAAUGGGAUCUCCACAUCUUCUGGUCCCAGCCUUUGUGAUGGACCCUGGCCUCUCCCAGAGGCUGACAGCGGAGCCCAUCACACCUCUUCCACGCGAGAAGACUGAACAGGAGGAAGGGUGACUUUUCAGCAGGGCUGGGACUUUGCUGGGCUGGCUUUCAUUGACAGCUACUCUAGGACAGGGGUAGCCAGGCACUUAGCUCCUGCCCUGAGGGCUGGCGACACCUGGUGGGAAUGGGACAUUCCUGGGGGUGGAGAUGGGGGGGGCAGAGAUUAGAGCCCACAGUGAAGUCCCCUGGGGCCAGGUUUUGGCUACCCUCACCUGUCCACUCUGGACAACUCCCAGGCCUGGGAGCAGGUGGCAUCUGGGCCUCACCUACUAUGGGAAGGCCACUAGGGUGUCUUCCCCUGGCACAAGUUUCUUGAAUGCCAUCAGACCUCUGCAGACCUCAGGAGGGAUAAAGGUUUGCUCAGCAUCAGGCAGACACCAGAAAGGACUUCCCAGUCCAGAUCAGGAGGCCCAUGAAUCCAGUUCUCUGUGGACCUUCAGGAAGAGAUUCACAUCCAUCUGUGCUGGAUGACAGGUCCACCCGGGAAGAGUCAGGGCCCUAACUGCAGUGACCCUUCCUAACUUUGUUAAAGGGCUCUCCCUUGCCCAGGUUCACCUGCUCCUAGGUUCUCAUCGAUGGCUCAAGCACCAUUAAGUAUCUUGGAAUAAAAAUCCGACUUCAGGAUCAA